GAAGCAGUCAGGUCAAAGAAUAUGGCCAGAAGAGGGCAUUCUGCACAGAUUGCUAAACCUAUUCGUCCCGGGCAACAUCCAGCAGCUUCUCCAACUCACCCAAGUGCAAUUCGUGGAGGAGGUGCAUUUGUUCAGAACAGCCAGCCAGUGGCAGUGCGAGGUGGAGGAGGCAAACAAGUGUAAUCGUUUAUACAUACCCACAGGUGUUAAAAAGUAAUCGAAGUACGAAGAGGACAUGGUAUCAAGCAGUCAUUCAAUGACUAUAACCUCUACUCCCUUGGGAUUGUAGAAUUAUAACUUUUAAAAAAAAUGUAUAAAUUAUACCUGGCCUGUACAGCUGUUUCCUACCUACUCUUCUUGUAAACUCUGCUGCUUCCCAACACAACUAGAGUGCAAUUUUGGCAUCUUAGGAGGGAAAAAGGACAGUUUACAACUGUGGCCCUAUUUAUUACACAGUUUGUCUAUCGUGUCUUAAAUUUAGUCUUUACUGUGCCAAGCUAACUGUACCUUAUAGGACUGUACUUUUUGUAUUUUUUGUGUAUGUUUAUUUUUUAAUCUCAGUUUAAAUUACCUAGCUGCUACUGCUUCUUGUUUUUCUUUUCCUAUUAAAACGUCUUCCUUUUUUUUUCUUAAGAGAAAAUGGAACAUUUAGGUUAAAUGUCUUUAAAUUUUACCACUUAACAACACUACAUGCCCAUAAAAUAUAUCCAGUCAGUACUGUAUUUUAAAAUCCCUUGAAAUGAUGAUAUCAGGGUUAAAAUUACUUGUAUUGUUUCUGAAGUUUGCUCCUGAAAACUACUGUUUGAGCACUGAAACGUUACAAAUGCCUAAUAGGCAUUUGAGACUGAGCAAGGCUACUUGUUAUCUCAUGAAAUGCCUGUUGCCGAGUUAUUUUGAAUAGAAAUAUUUUAAAGUAUCAAAAGCAGAUCUUAGUUUAAGGGAGUUUGGAAAAGGAAUUAUAUUUCUCUUUUUCCUGAUUCUGUACUCAACAAGUCUUGAUGGAAUUAAAAUACUCUGCUUUAUUCUGGUGAGCCUGCUAGCUAAUAUAAGUAUUGGACAGGUAAUAAUUUGUCAUCUUUAAUAUUAGUAAAAUGAAUUAAGAUAUUAUAGGAUUAAACAUAAUUUUAUACGGUUAGUACUUUAUUGGCCGACCUAAAUUU
rnacentral:lncRNA from 1 species